rnacentral:piRNA from 1 species
UCCAAAAAUAAUUUUCAAAAA